rnacentral:rRNA from 1 species
UACGUAGGGGGCAAGCGUUGUCCGGAUUUAUUGGGCGUAAAGAGCGUGUAGGCGGCCUGACAGGUCUGCUGUGAAAACUCGAGGCUCAACCUCGAGAUGUCGGCGGAAACCAUCUGGCUAGAGUCCGGAAGAGGAGAGUGGAAUUCCUGGUGUAGCGGUGAAAUGCGCAGAUAUCAGGAAGAACACCUAUGGCGAAGGCAGCUCUCUGGGACGGUACUGACGCUGAGACGCGAAAGCGUGGGGAGCGAACAGG